UACGGGGGGAGCAAGCGUUGUUCGGAUUUACUGGGCGUAAAGGGCGCGUAGGCGGUCGUGACAAGUCACUUGUGAAAUCUCCGGGCUUAACUCGGAACGGUCAAGUGAUACUGUCGGACUAGAGUACAGAAGGGGCAACUGGAAUUCCUGGUGUAGCGGUGAAAUGCGUAGAUAUCAAGAGGAACACCUGAGGUGAAGACGGGUUGCUGGGCUGACACUGACGCUGAGGCGCGAAAGCCAGGGGAGCAAACGGG
rnacentral:rRNA from 1 species